UACGAAGGGGCUAGCGUUGCUCGGAAUUACUGGGCGUAAAGCGCACGUAGGCGGAUUGUUAAGUCGGGGGUGAAAUCCUGGAGCUCACUCCAGAACUGCCUUCGAUACUGGCGAUCUCGAGUUCGGGAGAGGUGAGUGGAACUGCGAGUGUAGAGGUGAAAUUCGUAGAUAUUCGCAAGAACACCCGUGGCGAAAGCGGCGCGCUGGACCACUACUGACGCUGAGGAACGAAAGCUAGGGGAGCAAACAGG
rnacentral:rRNA from 1 species